UACAUAUACAUAUGGAGAGAGAUAAAGAUAAAAGAGUGUCUCGUCACACUUCCUCCCUUCAUUCUCCCAACGCACAAUAAUUAACACAGGUAGGUUUAUAAUAUAAAUGGGAAGGAUGGGUUUGGAGAGAUUGAUGGUGUCGGUGAAGACGAGAUUGAUAAGGUCUCUAAAGAUUUGGAAAGCAGGUGCAGUUGCAGGUGAUCAUGAAGCAGAAUCAUACAACAAGAUUCAAAAGAGCGACAGCAUGAGACUCGAAAUACGAAGCAGGAAAGCACGAAAACUCAUCCAACAAACCCUCAAACUCGCUGAUCAUUCCAAACCCUAGCUACUCUUAAUUAACUUAAUUUUCAUCAUCCAUAUAUAUAUAUAUAUAUGUAUUAAUGUAUAUAUAUCAUGUACCCAAUGGUUUUAACUCAUUAAUUACCUCUGUAUUCAAGGUCUCCAUUGUUCUGAA